AGAUUAAAAAUAGUAUUAAGAAAUUUUCUCCAAAGACAAAAUUGAACUUAAACACUUAAUUUCAAUGAAAUCGUUAAUAUAAAUUUUUUUUUUAAAUUUCUCAAAGGACAAAAUUUCGGUGAAAUGUUAAUAAAGGCAAACUUUCAAAUUUUAUUGAAAUUUCGAUUUUUGUUCCAGAACUUAUUCUAUUAUUAUAAAGAGCUAAUAUAGUACUGACAAAUAACAUCUUAAAAACGACGGGCCUUUUUUGACACAAAAACCGAGAUAGUAAAACCCCGACUAUACUACUAUAUUCAGCAAAAAAAAAAUAACCCCGUUUUCCCAUAUCAGCCUGAUAACCUGAAUAAUUUGUUACCUUCAAAGCAAAAAAAUAUUCAAAACAUAAAGGGACUUAAUGCAAAAAAAAAAAUCGUCAAAACGAAGAAAAUCGUCACGUCUGGCAGCUCUGCUUAUCAGUACGGCUUUAGACCUGGUAAAUCCACCAUAGAAUAGAUAUUAACAUUGCGCCAAAUCCUGGAGAAGACCCGAGAAGGAAAUAUCUAAACCUGCUGUAUUUUCGUUGAAUGCAAAACUAUCUUAUACAUACGUUCAAAGGUAUUUCAAGCCAUGUCUCAGUAUCCCUGCAAAACUUUACAGAAUGGCGCUUGAUGAUACACGCUUCUCAGUUAAAAUAGGAACGAACCUAUCCGAAACGUUUAAACCAAACGAGGUUUCAGACAGAGAGACCGCGCAUCGUGUGAUCUCUUUAAUCUUGCUGGAGAAGAUUAUACGAGAUGCUGGUGUGAAUAGGCAUGACACACUACUCACAAGAAAACAUAUCGAUGGCUUAAUAUAUAAUGGGCCUAUCUCGAUCUUUUUGUAAUUUAACCGGAGAAGGAAAAAAUUCGUCCUUUUUUGAAAUCGUUAUUACUCUGUUAUUUGCGAUUAUAUUCGUCUGAAAUUUUGAAGCAAGUUGCAUCUGACAUUUGUCUUCCAGAAUAAACAAUUAACGUCAUUUUGGAAAAAAAAUUAAAAUGGGUCUUUUUAUUAUUAAGCCAUCGAUAUGCUACUCGCUGAACACUGCGAUAUUAUGGGUCGGUCACCGUUAGGAGCAAUUGCAGCCUUUGAGAGUAUCGAAAGAGAAGCAACGGAAGUGGCUUUGGCAGUAAAUGGAGAUAAGAAAAAAUAGAUGGUAUCAACUCCCACAAAAUCCUGUAACAUAAGCAGAUAAAGAAAAUGGAGAAAGUUGGGAACUACAACUUUCGGAUAUUCAGCGCCGCCGUGAACGAUAAGAAUGACACCAGUUUUGAAAUAAAGCAAAGGAUUAUAUUGGCCAACAGAAUAUAUUGGCUACGUUAAAUUGAGCAAGUAGUUCAGGAGUAAAACCAACUCUCGACUAUACAAGACACUGAUACUACCCGAGGUGUUGUAUGUCAGUGGAAAAUAUGUGAAAAAUUUGCCCCUGUUUCUUAAUGGAAUGUUCAUUGGCAAAUUUGCAAUUGCCAUCUAUUCAACAAAAGUUGGAGACGGUCGAGCACCUGUUGUUUCACUGCCACGCAACUGCGAGAAGGCACAGGAGUGCUGUAGAGGCCAGAAUUGUCUGACUAAACCAUACUCUCGACGGUUACUCAGGAACUCUUACAUGGUAGCUGACAUUUUUUUUCAAAUUUGGCCUUUAGUCGACGGAUUACAAUAGUUUUCAUAUUUUAAAGAAUGAUUAAGAACUAUUCAGCUGUUCAACAUGAAUGAAUAUUACUAUUGGAAAAAAACUUUUCAACUGUUAAAAACUGGCAAAGUGACAGAACCAUAAAUACAAUGCCACAUUUUGCAAGUACUGGAUGCCAGAAAUGUUCAUUAAAUUAAAUCAAUUUUGGAAAUGGAACUGUUGCAACAACAAAGAGCUAUGAAAAAAGAUAAGAGCAUAGAACAUAAAAAUUAUCAUAUGAAAUUAACAAUGUUAUCCAAAGCUUGAACUAUUCAGAAACAUAUAUUUUAAAUCAAUACACAUUGAUAUUUUAAACUGUAAAACAAAGAAACAAAUAAUUUUUGGCACAAGUUUGUGCAUUUUUAAUAGACACUGAA